AUACGUAGGGGGCGAGCGUUGUCCGGAAUGAUUGGGCGUAAAGGGCGCGUAGGCGGCCCGGUAAGUCUGGAGUGAAAGUCCUGCUUUUAAGGUGGGAAUUGCUUUGGAUACUGUCGGGCUUGAGUGCAGGAGAGGUAAGUGGAAUUCCCAGUGUAGCGGUGAAAUGCGUAGAGAUUGGGAGGAACACCAGUGGCGAAGGCGACUUACUGGACUGUAACGGACGGUGAGGCGCGAAAGUGUGGGGAGCAAACAGGAUUAGAUCCCCUGGUAGUCCACGCCGUAAACGAUGAAUGCUAGGUGUCGGGGGGCAAAGCCCUUCGGUGCCGCCGCUAACGCAUUAAGCAUUCCACCUGGGGAGUACGUUCGCAAGAAUGAAACUCAAAUGAAUUGGCGGGG
rnacentral:rRNA from 1 species